rnacentral:rRNA from 1 species
UACGUAGGGGGCAAGCGUUGUCCGGAAUCAUUGGGCGUAAAGAGCGUGUAGGCGGUUCGGUAAGUCCGCUGUGAAAGUCGGGGGCUCAACCCUCGGAUGCCGGUGGAUACUGUCGGACUAGAGUGCGGAAGAGGCGAGUGGAAUUCCUGGUGUAGCGGUGAAAUGCGCAGAUAUCAGGAGGAACACCGAUUGCGAAGGCAGCUCGCUGGGACGUUACUGACGCUGAGACGCGAAAGCGUGGGGAGCAAACAGG